GCAGGAGGGUGGCACAGGUUGCAGGGGCAGGGGAGGCGGUGCAGGAGGGUGGCACAGGUUGCAGGGGCAGGGGAGGCGGUGCAGGAGGGUGGCACAGGUUGCAGGGGCAGGGGAGGCGGUGCAGGAGGGUGGCACAGGUUGCAGGGGCAGGGGAGGCGGUGCAGGAGGGUGGCACAGGUUGCAGGGGCAGGGGAGGCGGUGCAGGAGGGUGGCACAGGUUGCAGGGGCAGGGGAGGCGGUGCAGGAGGGUGGCACAGGUUGCAGGGGCAGGGGAGGCGGUGCAGGAGGGUGGCACAGGUUGCAGGGGCAGGGGAGGCGGUGCAGGAGGGUGGCACAGGUUGCAGGGGCAGGGGAGGCGGUGCAGGAGGGUGGCACAGGUUGCAGGGGCAGGGGAGGCGGUGCAGGAGGGUGGCACAGGUUGCAGGGGCAGGGGAGGCGGUGCAGGAGGGUGGCACAGGUUGCAGGGGCAGGGGAGGCGGUGCAGGAGGGUGGCACAGGUUGCAGGGGCAGGGGAGGCGGUGCAGGAGGGUGGCACAGGUUGCAGGGGCAGGGGAGGCGGUGCAGGAGGGUGGCACAGGUUGCAGGGGCAGGGGAGGCGGUGCAGGAGGGUGGCACAGGUUGCAGGGGCAGGGAAGGCGGUGCAGGAGGGUGGCACAGGUUGCAGGGGCAGGGGAGGCGGUGCAGGACAAGGCACGUGUGGCGCUGGGACUCUGCGUGCGGGUAUGCGGGUGUGCCAGGAGCGGGCUCCGGCAGCACCACCUCCGGGGGUGGCCCGCCGCUCCCACAUCCCCCCCGCCCCUUACUCCGCAUGCCAGCCGUCCUUCUCUUCUUUUCCUUUUUUUUUUUUUUUUUUUUUUUUUUGAGGUGGGUUUCCCGCAGCCGGAUGGGAGCGGUCCCUCCCCUCUCCACCCGGCUCUCCUGCCGGCCCUGCGUGGUCCGGAGGGGCGGUGGGGGCAGCGCUUGGGGCGGGCUGUGCUCGCCCUCCUUCCCUGCGCUGAUUUCCCGGUGAGCUCCGCAGCGCGGGCAGCUCCCCCCAUCCCCUUCCUGACCCUGGCACAAAUGUUCUGA
rnacentral:lncRNA from 1 species